rnacentral:lncRNA from 1 species
AAUGACCGAAUUAAGGCGAAGUGUACGUAAUUGCACGCCUCUAGCGGAAUACGGGAUUAAAAACGUUCGUCGUUAGUUACGCAAGUUAUCUCCCUUACUCCAAGAAAGGACACACGAAAGAGAAACUACUUUCUUCGGUCUAUAAUGAAUCCAACAAGCACGCCUGUGCUGUCUUUAACCUCAUAGAAAUUAUCUAAAUAACUCCAAUUAGAAAUCACAGCAUUCUUUACGUUGUUCUGUGUGCAGCCUGACUUAAAAACAUUGUUUUAGACGCGUAGGAGAAGGCAUUUCGUGUUUAUGAUAUCAACAGAAAGAAAAAACGCCUCACAACAAAAUUAUAAACAAAUAAACAAAUAAACAAAUAAACAUGUAACAAUUUUUCUUCUAUUGAUAUCAAAUUAAUUAAAAUGAAACCUGAAUUGACCCAACAAUAUCGUUUUAAAAAGCCGUAGUCUUGAACGAAAAACACAGUACUCAACGUAAAGUUUUAUAAUAGGUUACACAUAAUUAAUGAAAGACGUGUGAAUUUAAUUGUUUAAUUAAAAAGACGUUGAAAUGUUCGUAUUUAAAUUUGUGCAAUUGAAAAUUUAAGGACAGGAUUUAUAUUCAUAUAAGAAAUCAGACGAUACCAAGAGAAUAAUUUGACCACUUGUGCAAAACUUACCAGUCGGAAGAACAAAGACGGAAAACAAACAAAAAAUAAACAAAUUAUGCCCCAAAAAUUACUCAUUAACUUAAAAAUUUUCUUACUCUAACAUUUAUCUUAAAAUAAGUAAAAAUUAUGUCAUUCAACUCCCAGUUUUCAACUUUUCUACAUGUGCAGAAAAUAAACAGGUGUCUUCUAUUCCGUCCGCAAUUUAUGGGAAAACUAAAUCUAAAUUUAGAACCAUAUUGAAAUUGAAAGUACAC